GCUUACGGCCAGACCACCCUGAACACGCCCGAUCUCGGAAGCUAAGCGGGGUUGGGCCUGUUUAGUACUUGGAUAGGACACUGCCUAGGAAUACCAGGUGCUGCAAGCU
rnacentral:rRNA from 1 species